rnacentral:lncRNA from 1 species
UGACAAGUCUGUGCUUAAUUCAAGAAUAACCAGUAGGAGAGAGAGAAAACACAAGGAGUUAACCACCAUCGCCGGUGCUCUCUCAAAGGAAGAGGGGUUAACAGAUGAAUUCGCAAAGACAGCUCUUCUGGCCAAGAAUAUGGAUCAUUUGCAGCACAGAGGCAAGUUGAUAUAUGUAGCAUCAUGACAGUGAAGCAAAUUCCACAAAAACUGCUAAUGGACGGAGAAAUUUCAUGGAGAAAAGCUAGCAGACAGAGCUGGAAUAAAACAAUGGCUUCUUCUUUCCCUGAACAUGGCCUGCCAUAGGAAUCUGAACUGAAGUUAAAACAAGAAAGAAUAUCUCUUAGUACAUUAACCAGAUGCCUCUUUUCCAAUUAAGGACUGAAGUGGGCAUUAUAAAUGCAAAUAACUCAAUAUACUUGUCAUAUAGACACGAUAAGGCUUACCUGAUAAGCAUAAAAUCCUUGAACCAUAGACCCAAGAGAAGACAAAAUAAAAUGUUUUGAUGGCCAUAAAGCUGCAUGAGAAGAGGAUUGUGAUGAAAAAACAAAUGUGACAGCUCUGUGUAGAGGAGGCUUAUGCUGAGGAGGACUGUUUCUGAAUGUUGGGUUACAUGACUUGGAAUAUUGAUGUUUCUGCCUCUUAUUUUGCAUUCCUUAUUAAUUCAGAGCAUGUUAAUGCACUUGUACUCCUUACAUUUAUACAGACAAAAAAGAGGAAAAAACAAAAUAAAC